rnacentral:rRNA from 1 species
AGUGAACGCUGGCGGUAGGCCUAACACAUGCCAGUCGAACGGCAGCACAGUAAGAGCUUGCUCUUACGGGUGGCGAGUGGCGGACGGGUGAGGAAUACAUCGGAAUCUACUUUUUCGUGGGGGAUAACGUAGGGAAACUUACGCUAAUACCGCAUACGACCUACGGGUGAAAGCAGGGGAUCUUCGGACCUUGCGCGAGUGAAUGAGCCGAUGUCGGAUUAGCUAGUUGGCGGGGUAAAGGCCCACCAAGGCGACGAUCCGUAGCUGGUCUGAGAGGAUGAUCAGCCACACUGGAACUGAGACACGGUCCAGACUCCUACGGGAGGCAGCAGUGGGGAAUAUUGGACAAUGGGCGCAAGCCUGAUCCAGCCAUACCGCGUGGGUGAAGAAGGCCUUCGGGUUGUAAAGCCCUUUUGUUGGGAAAGAAAAGCAGCAGGUUAAUACCCCGCUGUUCUGACGGUACCCAAAGAAUAAGCACCGGCUAACUUCGUG